rnacentral:rRNA from 1 species
AGUGAACGCUGGCGGUAUGCCUAACACAUGCAAGUCGAACGGCAGCACAGUAAGAGCUUGCUCUUACGGGUGGCGAGUGGCGUACGGGUGAGGAAUACAUCGGAAUCUACUUUUUCGUGGGGGAUAACGUAGGGAAACUUACGCUAAUACCGCAUACGACCUACGGGUGAAAGCAGGGGAUCUUCGGACCUUGCGCGAUUGAAUGAGCCGAUGUCGGAUUAGCUAGUUGGCGGGGUAAAGGCCCACCAAGGCGACGAUCCGUAGCUGGUCUGAGAGGAUGAUCAGCCACACUGGAACUGAGACACGGUCCAGACUCCUACGGGAGGCAGCAGUGGGGAAUAUUGGACAAUGGGCGCAAGCCUGAUCCAGCCAUACCGCGCGGGUGAAGAAGGCCUUCGGGUUGUAAAGCCCUUUUGUUGGGGAAGAAAAGCAGCAGGUUAAUACCCCGCUGUUCUGACGGUACCCAAAGAAUAAGCACCGGCUAACUUCGUG